UGUUCGGUAAAUUUGAGAAUUGUUUAUGUAUGUGGUAGGCGUUGAAAGCGUUUCAACAGGUUUUUAACUUAUUCAGAAUAAGCCAAAAGAUAUGUUGUCCACAUAAAUCAGUGGCAGACCCCUGGGGGGGCGAGAAUGGUGAUCGCCCCCCAAUUCUUUGAAAUACAAUGGUCUUUUUUAUUCUAAAACAAUGACAAUUAUUUAGCAACUUCAGGAAUUAAAUUAAAGGCAGGAAUAUAGUGCUGCGGAAAGAAUAAGGAAAGUUGUAAUCAAAUAUCCAAAAACGUCAUUAACUUGUUUGCAAAGACAACCGCAAAAAAAAUCAAAGAAGAAGUAGGGUCUUGUUGGUAGUAGUAGUAGUAAUGAAAAAACAAGUAGAAAAAUCGGGGGCUAUUUGCUGUGUAAAGUGGGCUAAAUCGUGCUGUGCAUUCAUACCACAGAAUCAGGGCACAGAAUGGAGUGUGCACUAGAGUUUUGAGCUUUGGUAAUUCUGAAAACGAGGCCAAAAGUUCUAAUGGCGCGUGGAGACCAGUGAAAUCAGAAGUUACUUGGGAAUGGCAGAGUCGACUGAAGUUGUAGUAAUUGACAUUACGAAAAAGAACUUUCCAGAGUUGUGGCCAGCCCUAUUAUUUGCUGUACAAAACUCAAGCUUUAUCGCAAUUGACCUGGAACUGAGUGGAUUAGGUGAAAGAAAACAACUGUCUGCCAGAUACAAACUAUGGCACAUAGCAUGUUUGAACAUAACAGCAGGUGGCACAUUUGGAAACUCUGUUGAUGAGAGGUUCAAAGCCCUUUCAAGAACUGCACAGUCUCGAUCUGUUGUGUCAAUGGGGCUGUCUUGCUUUAGACAAGAACCAUCUUCGCGAGAUAGCUUUCAAAGAGAAUUUAAAGUUCAAACAUUUAAUAUUUUUCUGCUAUGUGAUAGUGAAUAUGUUGUUGAGUCACAAUCGUUGCAGUUUUUGGUGAAUCACGGCUUUGACUUCAACAAACAAUAUUCCCUUGGAGUUCCGUAUAGUAAAGAAGAACAGGAGACAUCAGGGAAGAUGCUGACAAUUAGAAGGCUUUUUCUCGAAGUUGUUUCCGCGCAAAAACCAUUAGUAGUUCAUAACGGCCUCAUCGACCUUGUAUUUCUGUAUCAGAAUUUCUACGCCCAGUUACCGAAUUUGUUGCAAACAUUCAUUGCCGACUUGUGUGAUAUGUUCCCUGCUGGAAUAUUCGACACCAAGUACAUUUCCGAGUUUCAUGUCAGAGAGCAUUUCUCGUUUCUAGAAUAUCUCUUUAAAAAGUGCCAGUACAAAAAUGAGGCUUUGAGGGAAGCUAACGAGACCUGUUUACUUGUUAAGGAAGGCAGUUCAUCUGUGCGACAAAUGGUGGUUGAUCAGCAUGCCGUUGUCUGCGCUUUGCCAGAUCUCAAAUUAACCCAGUCAAUCCUUGAAUUAUUACCAAACCUGUGUAAAAGUUUUAAGACUCGAGGCUACUGCUGUCAGAGAGACUCUUGUACCAAGAUUCACAGUGUAGAUUUAAUGAUAAUAGGCGAAAAUGCAACGCAGGGUAGCAGAAAAAGGAAUCGGAGGAGAAAACGGAAGCUUGGUGCUGAAGAAGAGAAUACAAGAACAGACAACAAGAAAUCAUACUACGAUGGUUCUAGGAAACAGUAUGAAUCGGAGUCCGUGGAAGAAAAACAUUUGAAUACAAAUGACUUGGCAUCAAGCUCCAGAAAAGAGGACGAUUUAAUAGGAAAAGUUUGUAAUGAACAGUUGGAGUUGCCACGAAUGAACGGUCACCGCGCUGGUUUCGAUGCUUUUAUGACGGGGUAUUGCUUCGCUUUUUAUCAGCUUGCUUGCCAACAGGAGGACAUCGAGGGGUCAAGAAACAAAGUUUACCUUACGGCGAAAGACCUCCCACUCAAUAUUAUGAGGAGUCAUUUUGCAAAAACCUCUUCUCGACACGAGAAAAUCAUGGCUGUACUUAAACCCGGGUGAUUCCUAGUUUUAGCAAAUUUUCUCUACUUUUGUAUUUUUCUUUAUUCUUGGCUGCCAUCUACAAACUUCGAACUUCCAAGGCUCACGUCCUUUUAGGUUUAUGUAAACGGUUUUACGAUUCAAAGUUGCGGACGAUUCAAAUCUUAUUUUCCUGAGGUAUUUUAAAAAAUUGCGAUAGAAAUUGCACAGGUAACAAUAGAUUUAUUUAAGCAGACAAGACUUGUUAAAUAAUGUUUAUAGUGGUAUUUUCAUGUGAUUUCCUGUUACUUUCGGGUUGCACUUGGAUUUAGUAAAUCGCUUUCCUUCAGGACCGGCGAAACCGGGGUGCCCGGGGGGCCAUGGCAAAGUAAAGUUUUUGAGGGAAAGAUAGAAAGAAAUCUUGUCUAUUUUAUCGUUAGUUAUGGUGCAGAAUAUUACCAAAAAUAUGUUUCGUUACAAUGUCUUUACCAUUAAAAUAUUUAGGGUACACACCUCGGGGGUACCUUAACAUGUUUGAAGGUACGGAGCGUGCCAUUUUUAGGGGCACUAUUUUCUGAAAAGUGCGGAAUUACCGGUAUCAGUUUUUGAAAUACAUAUUUGCGAAACUAUUGGUACCAUUGAAGAAACAUGCAAAGUUAUAGGUAUCGUUUUGUGAACAUAUUGCAAAAUUAUUAGGAGGGAGAUUAAGCAUUAACAAAAUGAAUGUCCUGUUAAAAAUUAAAGUAUGAAAUAUGUGUAAUAUUGAUAUUUUGGGGCAGAAGACAUACAAAAUUUGUUUAGUGAUUUUUUUGUGCUUUAAAAAUUUCGAUGGCUUAGUAUAGUUUUCAUCAUGUUGGCGGAAUUUUGAGUCACAUUUCCAGACAUGUGCGAAAUUUUGGAUCCAAAUUUUUAACCAAAAUGCACGUCCCCGUUCAAAAUUAGGCUUAGGAGCCCCAACACCCUGCCCUUCAAGGUACACAGAGAAGAUAGAGCAUGAGAAUUUCAUCGAAGAAACCGAUAGUCCAAGUUGUGCGCUACACGAUGCACUGUGCCUGCGAGUAACUAACAGCUUUUCCAAGGUGGCGGCUAGCUACCAACCAUUGUGCGGUCUUGGGAAUGCAUGGGAUUUUAGGAUGUCGGUGGAGAAACCGGACAAGACCAGAAAAACUUGGUGACGGAGUUUCAUGUUCUCUAUGACCCAAACCUGGCCCACAAGGCCUAUUUGUUAUCGGACAAGCUCUCAAAAAUAUUACAGAGUAACCUGUCUGCAGAGUAUGGCAGUUCUCGACGAGAUCUCGCGCGUGCAGUACUCAUUCACGCCAUGUUUUCUGCGUGCAAACCUUUCUUUACUGAUCAAUAGCGCUAUAGUAAAUUUGAUGUUCAAUCAGAAACUUUUGGCGUGCAGCACUAUCCUGACCUCGCGCGUGCGUCAGCCACACUCUGCAGACUCGCAGAGGGAACAGCAACUGUACGAGGAGAGGGAAUUGUUAGGGAAUAUAUUUCUAAGAUAGAAGGAAACUAAAAAUCGGUAGGUUUGUUCUUUGAAAGUAUUGUCGCAGAAGCUUCAAAUUACGAUUUAAUCGAUGAUUCUGUUCAGCCAAGAAAGAGACGAAGCGCUGAUUAAAAAGCUGGAAAAAACCUUGUGGUAGAGGGAGAUUUAGAUAAGGGCAAAAACUAUCCUUCCCCGCCAAAAAAACACUUCAGUCUACUUCAAAAUUAUUUUUUUUAAAAAUCUUUUUAAACAGCCUAGUUUGAAAGUUUCAAGUCUUCAGUCGUUUUUAUUAUACAAAAUAACACCUCAACUUGACGAGAUUGCUUAAUCCUUUUUUAUUUGAUGUAUUUUCCUUUUGAUUUUCUUAUUUCAUUGAUAUUCAUGUUUUAUUGCUAAAAUCUGCAUCGUUUACUACUCCUCUCUAAAUUACUUGAUUACUUAUUUGAUAGAAAGCAAUUUUAAUUAUACUCGUUGCGCUAAAGUGGUUAUUUUAGUAGAGCUUUGCAAGACUUUUCUUAUCUUAUGUCGACAUCGAAAUGGGUAAAACUUUAACAACCUGUGUUGUUAAUAAAGUAACAGUCUCGAAGGACGAAUUAUUGAAGAGCGAAGUCGAUAGUAAGAGACGUACGUCGUGUUAUUAUCUUAUUUCGAACCAACUAACUAUUUCUAAAUAAACACAGCGGUAUAUACAAGCAGCGAAGCGUAGCAUGAAAAACACAGCGGGAACAAAACAAAAGCUUAGAUGUUAUCACUACAGUACCUCCCCCCUAGAAUGCAAGCUCGAGAAAAGCAUUUGGGAUAAAAGUUAAUUAAACGUAUAUAAGAAUAUUCAGGCAUGUCCAUAUCUGUCGGGAAAAUGAACUUGUCUCCCUGAACGUGUCCUAGAAGUACCAGGUACUUGGUUCUCUACCGGCUUGGCCCUCGCUGAAGCAUGGUUUGAUGGGAAUGAUGUGUUUUUGGCAGUUGAACGUUGGUUAUCUGCAUCGGUAUAAGCAACUUUAAGACGAUCUAUGCUUAUUGUUUUUUGUUUUCCAUUGACAUCUACGAGGAAAUGUUUGUCAUUGCGCUUGAGAACCUUGAAAGGACCGUCGUAUGGAGGUUGAAACGGCUUUCGAACAGCAUCAUGGCGAACAAAAACGUGCGUACAAGAUGGAAGAUUAGCUGGGAUGUAUGUGUAAGCUUCUUGAGAACGGGGAGGAGUUGGUUUUAGUUGUUGCAUAAAACUUUGUAGACGAUCAACGAAAACAGAGGGAUCAAGGGCUGUGACAUCAAAUGUCGGAAAUAUGAAUUGACCUGGAAGACGAAGUGUGGAACCGUAAACAAGUUGGGCAGGUGAACAACCGAGGUCAGUUUUAAUCGUUGUCCGUAGUCCGAGGAGAAUGAGUGGAAGAAGGUCGAUCCAUCUUGUGGAAUCCGGUUGAGCUUUGAUUGAAGCUUUAAGCUGUCGAUGGAAACGCUCAACCAUGCCAUUGGCACAAGGGUGGUAAGAAGUAGUAUGAAUACGUUUGAUUCCAAGUAAAUGAGCGAGGGAACGGAAGAGAGCUGAUUCAAACUGAGCUCCUCUAUCAGUGGUUAUCGUUGAAGGAACACCGAAAGCUGCAAUCCAACGUGAAACAAAAGCUUGAGCGACGGUUUCUGCGGUAGCAUCUGAAAUUGGAAUCGCCUCUGGCCAACGAGUGUAGCGGUCGAUGCAAGUAAGAAGAUAUCUACAACCGUUUGAUGGUGGUAGAGGGCCAACAAGGUCUAUGUGUAUGUGAUCGAAACGUGUGUCAGUAGAUGGAAAAGUUCCAAUGGGGGAAAACGUGUGACGGGUGACUUUAGCCUGUUGGCAUGGGAUACAGGACCGAGUCCAAUUGCGGAUGUCUUUGUUGAUACUAGGCCAGAUGUAAUGUUGUCUGAUAAGUCGCUGUGUUGCACGAAUACCGGGAUGUGCAAGUGAGUGGAGGUGAUUAAACACAAGGCGGCGAUAACAGACAGGAACAUAUGGGCGAGGAGUGCCGGUUGAUAUGUCACAAAUGAUGGUUCCAGAAUCUGCCGGUAAAGGAAACUCUUUCAGAUUAAGAGAGGUGUUUGACUGUACCUGGUGGAAUUCAGAAUCUUGCUGUUGAGCUGCAGACAGUGUGACAAAGUCAAGGCUUGGAAUAUUGAGCAAGGAAUUGAGCUCAAUGCGAGAAAGAGCAUCAGCAACCACAUUCUGAUGGCCUUUUACGUGUCGUAUGUCAGAGGUGAAUUGAGAGAUAAAAUCAAGAUGGCGAAUUUCCCGUGGCGAAUAUCGAUCAGACGAAGAAGACAGUGCAUGAAGCAAUGGCUUGUGGUCUGUCAUAACAUGAAAUGCGCGUCCUUCCAAAAAGUACCGAAAGUGCUUGAUAGCUAAGUAGACGGAGAGUAGUUCUCGUCCAAAUGUGCUGUACUUCGUUUCGGCUGGUUGCAGGCGCUUUGAAAAGAAAGAAAUAGGUUGCCAGGCACCAUUGAGGAAUUGUUGAAGCACUGCUCCUACAGCCACAUUCGAAGCAUCAACAACUACACUGCAUGGUGCUACUGGUGAUGGGUGAACAAGAAGAGUAGCCCGGGAAAGUGCUGUUUUGAUCUCUGAGAAUGCAGAUAACGAAUCCACAGUUAGUUGGAACGGUUCUUUGGUAGACUUGGCAGAGAGAAGGUCGGUGAGAGGCUGUAUUAAUUGAGCACAGCAAGGCACAAAACGACGGUAGAAGUUGAUCAAUCCCAGGAACUCGCGAAGCUUUUUGAGCGAAGUAGGAGGAGGAAAAUCUUCGAUUGCUUGAACUCUUGUGGAAAGCGGUGAGAUUCCUUGUGGUGAAACAUGAUGUCCUAGGAAGUCAAUAUGAGAUUGGCCAAAAAUGCAUUUGGUAGGAUGAAUGACAAUACCAUGAUCGGAAAGACGAGAGAAUAAAAUUUCAAGAUGCAACAAAUGUUCUGCUUCAGAAUUGCUUGCGAUAAGUAAAUCAUCAAUGUAAGCAAAAACGAAAUCCAAACCACGAAGUACUUGGUGCAUGAAGCGCUGGAAUGUCUGUGCUGCAUUACGCAAUCCGAAUGGCAUGCGAACGAAUUCAAAAAGUCCAAAGGGAGUUGUUAUGGCAGUCUUAGGAAUGUCACUAGGUUCGACUGGAAUCUGAUGAUAGGCACGCACGAGAUCAAUUUUUGAGAAAAUGGUUUUUCCAUGCAGAGACGAAGAGAAAUCUUGGAUGUGUGGGAUGGGGUAGCGAUCGGGAACUGUAGCAUUGUUCAAGCCACGAUAAUCACCGCAAGGUCGCCAGUCGCCUUGAGUAGCCUUAGGAACCAUAUGCAACGGAGAAGACCAACUGCUUUUUGACGGUCGAAUGAUGCCAAGUUGUAACAUGUGAUCAAAUUCAGCCUUGGCAAUGAUCAAACGUUCAGAAGCAAGACGACGGGGACGAGCAAAUACAGGAGGGCCUGAAGUUGUGAUGUGAUGGGUGACGGUAUGCUUUACUUUUGAUUCGUUGUAUGAAGGACGGGCAAUGUCAGGAUACUUUUGAAGUAAGGCUUGGUAUGGCGAAGUAGUAUCAGGGGUUGCCAGCAUAGGAUGAGGUGAGCUGUCGGCGGACAAAAUACCUUGAAUGGUCAAAUUUGUUGUAGUGUCAAUGAGUUUCCGAUUUUUAACAUCAACUUUAAGGCCAAAAUGAGCAAGGAAAUCAGCGCCAAGAAUAGGAAACGGUAUUUCAGCAAUAAUAAAAAUCCACCUGUACGUGCGGCGAAGUCCGAGGUCUAUCGUUAAAGACUUUUCUCCGAAAGUACGAAUUGGCGACUUAUUCACAGCCUGUAAAGAAAUGUUUUGAGAAGUUUGUCUGUCAGUAGAAGAAGGAGGUAGAACGCUUACAUCAGCACCUGUAUCUACCAAGAAGCGUGUACCAGUGAUACGGUCGGUAAUAUAAAAGAGGCGACUGGAAGGAGCAGGACCAGCAGAACUAGUCGCCCUUAGUUGCUGGUGGCGUCGUUUCCCUGGUUUGAGGUGAAGCUUGAAAAGUUGCAUGGUGGAGUGCAAUUGCGAGCAAGUCGACCAUAACGUUGAUGGUACCAGCAGUAGGUAGAGUUUGAGGGUGCUGGGCUGGUGCGGCGAUUACGGCUGAUAGAGCGGCUUCGGCUACGCCCUGGGAAAUUAUUGGUUGGCUGUGUGUGGCUUAUGAGGGCUUGGACUUGAAAAGUCAGUUCCUCUACUUGAGAUCUGAGAGCAUGAACUUCAGAUGCGAUAGGCGGUGUAACAGGCGUGGGGGCCGGCGCUGACACGGUAGGUGUUAAAGAGGAGAUGCCAAGAGGGGUCGCAACCUCUAAAAUUUUGUCUGCUAAUAAAGCAACCUGCUCAACGGGAAGGGAGUCAGCAGUGGAGGCUAAAAUCAGCCUGACAUUGGUUGGUAACCUUCCCAAAAACAACUGUCGUAAAAUGUUGUUUUCUAGUGUAUUGUCUCCAAGCAGUUGUCGCAUAUGGCGCAGUAAUUGAGAGGGCUUCCGGUCACCCAGUUCUUCUGCAGUCAGCAGUUGGUGAAGCCGCUUUUGUUCAGAUGCGGAAGUACGCUGUAUGAGUUCGGCCUUGAGUGUAUCGUACUGCGUUGCUUGAGGGGGGUGGAUCAAAAUGUCGCGUACCUCCUGUGCGAUUUCAGGCUGGAGAGCGGAGAUUACAUAAGCAAACUUUGUAGCCUGUGAAGUUAUAUUUCUUGUGAAAAACUGGGCCUCUACUUGAGCAAACCAAACAAGGGGAUCGUUAGGCCAAAAAGGUGGAAGUUUGACACUUACCGAAGCAACUGGCGCUGGUUCUGAAGUCGUGGCGAUGGCUGCAGUUGCAGUAGUGCUGUCUGACGGUGGCGUGUUGGCGUCUGUAUUCAUGUCGAAUUGUAGACGUAGAAAUAAACGAAGUGGUCACCAAUUUAACAACCUGUGUUGUUAAUAAAGUAACAGUCUCGAAGGACGAAUUAUUGAAGAGCGAAGUCGAUAGUAAGAGACGUACGUCGUGUUAUUAUCUUAUUUCGAACCAACUAACUAUUUCUAAAUAAACACAGCGGUAUAUACAAGCAGCGAAGCGUAGCAUGAAAAACACAGCGGGAACAAAACAAAAGCUUAGAUGUUAUCACUACAAAACUAUGGGACAUAAUAAUGAAAAAAGCUUGAUAAUGUUGCCUUGAAUUUCAUCCAGUAAAUUUUUCGUGCCGCCGACCAGGAUGUAGUGCCAUCAAAAUAACAAGGGGGCUCUGAGCCCAUCUAGCACUACACCCCUACCGCCAACCAUGGUAGCGGCCUUUCCUAAAACCUUCCACUGUCUUGACAUUUUGUCCCCUCCACUUUCAAAAACGUUUCUCUGGCCCUGUUCAUCUAUUGUAAAAAUUAAAAUGUCAUUGUUAGGAAAUUAUCCAAAAAAAUUCACGGGCGUGAUUCGAGGACAAGGUAGAUAGUUCAUAUCUAUUUAAAUUAGUUAACCUCAUUCGAUUCCUCGCAUUUGUGGGCCCCCCUUGUGGUUGUUCGGGAUUGUUCAUGUCUGAGUCUUAUUGAGUUGCAUUCAUUGCCUCGCAGCGGAACUUAGGCCACGUGAAAUAAUAUGGCGUACAAAAUGGCGCAUAAACUGUGCCAUAUCAGAUGCCAUCAUUCAAGUAGACGUUUUAUGAUGACUUGUUCUAGUAUGGCUGGGACCAGAAAUAUCUACGAAAGACAGAAGUCGCUUCUUUUUUACAACCAUUAUCUACAAACAUA